GAAAAAUUGCGUAGGCUUUCUGAACCUCAUUUUCCACACGAGUAGAUUCAUAUUUAUCUCACAGGGUCACAGCAAGGAUGAAACUCAAGCUGAUCUUCACUUGGCAAAGACAUGGAGAGUGCCCAGACCUGCCCACGCGUGGCCCCUGAGCUGGACGAGAGUCAAAUACAUCAACCUUGACAUUCCCUGUGAAGAUGCACAGUUCUCUUUGUCACUGAAGAAUGAAGAUCUAAGUCCAGUGAUGGCUCUUGUUUUCUUCUGACCCUGGAUCACAAAGUGAAAAAUAAGCAGAAAUCAGCAAUUUCCUAUGGUCUGACCUAAAACAUGUCUGAA
rnacentral:lncRNA from 1 species